GACGGAGGGUGCAAGCGUUGUUCGGAAUUACUGGGCGUAAAGCGUACGUAGGCGGCGGAUUAAGUCGAAUGUUAAAGCCUGGGGCUCAACCCCAGAGAUGCAUUCGAUACUGGUCUGCUAGAGGGUGAUAGAGGAAAGCGGAAUUCCCAGUGUAGCGGUGAAAUGCGUAGAUAUUGGGAGGAACAUCAGUAGCGAAGGCGGCUUUCUGGGUCACACCUGACGCUGAGGUACGAAAGCGUGGGGAGCAAACGGG
rnacentral:rRNA from 1 species